rfam:Triticum aestivum genome assembly, contig: Triticum_aestivum_CS42_TGACv1_scaffold_375553_5AL
UAUAUACUACCUCCGUCCGGAAAUACUUGUCAUCAAAAUGGAUAAAAGGGACGUAUCUACAUGUAUUUUAGUUUUAGAUACAUCCCUUUUUGUCCAUUUUGAUGACAAGUAUUUUUGGAUGGAGGGAGUAUAAU